rnacentral:rRNA from 1 species
UUGAACGCUGGCGGCAGGCCUAACCCAUGCAAGUCGAGCGGAUGAAGGGAGCUUGCUCCUGGAUUCAGCGGCGGACGGGUGAGUAAUGCCUAGGAAUCUGCCUGGUAGUGGGGGAUAACGUCCGGAAACGGGCGCUAAUACCGCAUACGUCCUGAGGGAGAAAGUGGGGGAUCUUCGGACCUCACGCUAUCAGAUGAGCCUAGGUCGGAUUAGCUAGUUGGUGGGGUAAAGGCCUACCAAGGCGACGAUCCGUAACUGGUCUGAGAGGAUGAUCAGUCACACUGGAACUGAGACACGGUCCAGACUCCUACGGGAGGCAGCAGUGGGGAAUAUUGGACAAUGGGCGAAAGCCUGAUCCAGCCAUGCCGCGUGUGUGAAGAAGGUCUUCGGAUUGUAAAGCACUUUAAGUUGGGAGGAAGGGCAGUAAGUUAAUGCCUUGCUGUUUUGACGUUACCAACAGAAUAAGCACCGGCUAACUUCGUG